rfam:Brassica napus, WGS project CCCW01000000 data, contig: 1712
GGAAUAUAAGAAUCCAUUUUUUAACUUUUAACGGAAAAAAUUAAGAACCGACUCUUAAAACUCUUAUUUAAGAACCGGUUCUUAACUUUUUUAGUUAAAAGUUAAGAGACGGGUUCUUAUAUUUC